rnacentral:tRNA from 1 species
AGGGAUUUAGCUCAAUGGUUUAAGUACGUGUCUGGCAAGCAUGAGGUUGUGAGUUCAAUCCCUG